CAGACCAAGGGGUUGAGAAUGUAGACAUUACUCGGUGCAUGUUUACUCUGCGAGGAACUGGCCGUGGCAGCUUUAUUGCUGGCAAAAGCGUGCAUAACCAGAGAAUGGAACGGGUAUGGAGAGAUGUUUGGACUGCUGUAACAUCAAGUUACUACAAUGUUCUCCACAGCUUGGAAGAGGAGGGAUUAAUUGACCUGUCUAAUGCUGUUCACCUAUUCUGUGUGAGAUAUGUUUUCAUCCCCAGAAUACACACAGAUUUGCAGCAUUUCAUAUAGAUGUGGAACUGUCAUCCCUUUCGAACGGAGGGAAAUUUGUCACCGAAUCAUCUUUGGAAUAUUGGGAUGUUGCAAGCACCUGUGUCAGAGCCUGAUUUUGCAGAGAUUUUGCAAGCAGAGGAAUUAUUCUUCCAGAAUCCACAGA